rnacentral:lncRNA from 1 species
AUCCCAGAUGGCUUUGACUUCUCAAACGAGGCUGACACGAGUAUUCCUGGCUCCCCGAUCCAACUCGGCUCCACUGACCUAGGGAUCAAACGUGUGCAAGAGGGGGAGGUGCUGGUGCGCAGGAGCCCUGAGCACAGCUCGCCGGAGCCCAACUCAGCAGCAGCCACAACAGAGGGUGCUGAAAGUAUAAAUGGAGGAGAAGAGUCUGUAAACCUGAAUGAUGCAGAUGAAGGGUUUUCAUCAGGGGCCUCCCUCAGCAGCCAGCCAGUUGGGACCAAAGCAUCCUCCUCUUCUCAGAGGGGAAGCUUGCGCAAAGUAGCAACUGGGCGUUCAGCCAAAGAUAAAGAAGCAACUUCCACCAUCAGAUCCAGUGAGAGCCCUCGAGAGUCAGUCAUGCGCAAACAGUAUGGACAGCAGCCAACUGACCUUAGUGUAGAUUCAGUUGAGCUGACACCAAUGAAGAAACACCUGAGCCUGCCUGCUGGCCAGGUGGUGCCAAAAACCAGUAGUCUGAGUCUAAUCCGGACAGCCAGUGCUUCCUCAAGUAAAUCCUUUGACUAUGUAAAUGGCAGUCAAGCAGGUACCAGCAUCAGGGCCGGCACAGAGGGAGUCACCAAUCUAGCAGCUAACAGUGCUAACCGAUACUCAACCAUCAGCCUCCAGGAAGACCGGUUGGGUCAAGCUGGUGAUGGGAAAGAGCUUCUCAGCCCAGGAGCCCCCUUAACCAAGCAGUCCCGCUCCCCAAGUUUCAACAUGCAGCUGAUAUCCCAGGUGUAGCUUCAACAACCUCUCUGCUCUUUCUGCUUUCCUUGUAACCGAACGUUUCAUUGUGCAAGAAGACACUUCAUCCCGCAUUGUGAAAAUACUGGUCAUCACAAUCAGAUUUGAGUUGGUUUAGUUAGAUAUUCAUACUGUAUUUUGUAUGGAAACAGCAAUAAGGUUUUUUUUCUCUCCUUCCCACGUCUCCUGUGCCUGUUCCUUGUAAGUGUGUUGUGAAGCGGUGUAAAAUGUUUGCCUUUCCAUGCCUUCUCUUCUCCUUGGGUAAUGUGCAAUCCAUCGUAGGCGGAUCAGUCCCAUUUCAACACUGUGAGACUGAGGGUACGUUAGAGGAAAUGCUGGAUAUGAUCCCUAUGAAAUGAUUCUUUGGCUUUUGUUUAAAAACAAAACAAAAACGGGUUUAUUCACAUACUCUAUAGAACUAUGAAGAUGACUGGAUCAUAUUUGUUCUCCUAACCAGGAGUGCCUCAGAGAUUCUGCUGUGACUUUGGACUUCUCUGAGUCUGUGCAAUCCUUUUCUCAAGAAGCACGGGAAGGUGGUGGACUGCUGCACUUUUUCAUUAAAAUGAGGGUGGCACUUUUUUCCUCCCAUUUCCUUUAUCCGGAUGAUAUAAAUGUUCAAUUACUAAGGCAUUUAAAUCAGUUUGAGCCCCACCUUCUUUGAGGGUGGGGCUCUUAAGUUGACUGUGUAAUUGACAUGCACUUUCUCAGUGGCUCUCUAGUCAUUAAGAUGUCUUCCCUCUUCCCACAAAGGUUUAAGGUCAUUUUUCUCCUUAAAGUUUGAACAGCUGACAAAUCAGAAUCCAAGGGGCAUGUUCUGCUUCCAGGAAUGAUUGACUUGGUGCUGCGGUUUUGUGGGGGGGAUGGGGUUUUGUUUAGUGUGUGAGGGAAGGUUUUGAUUGUUUUGCUUUUUUCUCUUUUGUGAGCUGAUGAUGACUGAAGUAGAAUUGUACGUCUUCAGGUAAAGAGAGGGAUUUCUCAGUCCAUUUUCUGUGAUGUCAGACAAUUGGAGAAACCCUUUCAGCUGCUUUCUAGAUGUGCCUAAAUUCAGUCAGAUAUUUUAGAUUAAGAAACUUAAGGUCCUGAAAGAUCAUAUGUUCCAAGGAAAUAUAUCAGGGACAGAUAAUUGGCUGAAAACACUGAUGCUUCAAUGUGACACAUUUUUAUAGAACAUUUCUACCAGGGGGUACUGACUUGAUUUCUCCUGUAAGGACCACACUGCCUUUGUGUUUAAUGUGAUGCAAUCUGUGUAUCUUCUAAUCAUUAUACCUGCAGAGUUUCUUGUUUUUAUAAAACUUGGAAAUCAUGCCAGGAAGCAAGAUAUUGAAUGUAUGUGAGUAGCAUUGGUACCUGCUAAGAGGCUCUGAAGUACAUUACUGGUUAAAAAAGUUUUUAUUUUGAUUUGGGUAGAUAGCACUUUAUUUAUGAGACUCUUCUGACUCUCAGGCUCUAAUGUUUGGAAAAAGAAGGGAAUAUAUUAUACUUUUGGAUAUUAGUAUUUAACUUGAACUUCUGUAAAUUAUCCUUCCACAAAUUACAAUGAGAAGGAAGGAAGGAAAGAAAAGAAAAGAAGAAAUGGAGGUAGGAGAAAGCAAGUAUUCUAAUAAAGUUUAAAAUUUUAUCUCUACCAAUUAAACUUAGAGUAGGCUUUGAUAAUAAAACCAGAAAAAUGGUUUUUGCUUUUUCAUACUUAAAAAAAUCUCUCUCCCUUUUUUUAAUUAAAGAGCAUUUUUCUUUUUUUUUUUUUUUUUAAAAAGGGAGGUGGAUGGGGGGGUUCUCCCUCUGCUGCAGUGGUGACUGGACCUGUGCUGCUGAAAGGCAGAGAUGCAGGAAAAGCUGGCUUCAUGGGGGAGGUCCAGCCUCUCCUAGGACAGGCUUGUUAGCCACUUGGUGGAGUCAUGU